rnacentral:rRNA from 1 species
CCCUUAGAUGUCCUGGGCCGCACGCGCGCUACACUGAACGGAUCAGCGCGUUUUCCCUUCCCGAGAGGGACGGGUAACCUGCUGAACCCCGUUCGUGGUAGGGAUCGGGGCUUGCAAUUAUUCCCCGUGAACCAGGAAUGCCCAGUAAGUGCAAGUCAUCAGCUUGCAUUGAUUACGUCCCUGCCCUUUGUACACACCGCCCGUCGCACCUACCGAUUGAAUGGUCCGGUGAAAUCUCGGGACGGCGGCUUGGUCGCUUGCGUCCGACUGCUGAAACUUGAUUAAACCAUAUCAUUUAGAGGAAGGUGAAGUCGUAACA